rnacentral:lncRNA from 1 species
GUCCUCACCCCCUGGGGGACAGGGGUUGUCGCCAAGGGCCAGAGCGGGAGCCCUCCGGAAGGAGCAGGACGGGCGCGGGGGAGGUGGGGCAGCGGGUCCAGAGCCCCUGCUGGUGGGCUAGGCCGCGGUCUGCGCGGUGGGCUCUGCGGAAAUCCAGAAUGACCUGGACGAAAAGCGUGACCUGCGGGACGGUGAGGAAGCCGGUGCUGCUUGCCCGACGAGGCGCUGACUCGGACUUCAUCAGAGUCUUCGCUUUGGUGCAGGAAGACGGAACAGCAGGGAGAGACCCGCAGGCCGCUGUCCAGCUGUAGAGAGACUCGAGACCUGCUGGCCGCGUUCUGAAAACGCAACACCACGUCCCUCCGGGGCCGACCGGGAGGUACGAAUCACAGUUGAUUACUGUCGCUCCUUGUUAACCACAUUUAAUAACAACACGUUAUUUCAAAGCUACGAAAUAGAAAAUUUAAAAUAUGCUCGCUGUCAAAAAGAUGCGAAGUGAUGGACAUGUUAAUUAGCUUAAUAUAAUUAUUCCAUGAUGUGCACAAAUCCCAACAUCACAUUGGUGCCCACAAAAUAUAUGACUCUUACAUUCAAUUAAAAAUUUAAAUUUACAUGAUCUCUUAGAAAAAAAAAUCCCCCAAAGCAUCAAUGAGAAGUCCCUGCCCUGGCCGGCUGAAAGUGCUGGGUCUUGCGGUCAUUUCAAGGCGGUGCCCCAACGGCCCCUGCAGGGGCAUUUUCUGCUGGGCGCCCCUCACCACCAGGGGGCGUGUUCUGUCAUUUUCAGUUCCCCUGGUCGGAAGGUGUUUUGGAUGUAGAUACUUCCAGGACCCUUUCAUGGGGCAAAGAGAAGGGCCAUAUUUUAGUGUAUUCUGCAGACCCCUUAGCAGAGUCUGCUCAUGGGGGCUAUUGUCCCUAUUGUCACCUGGCAGCUGGAGUCCUGUGGGCGCCCCACACGCAGAUGGCCUUUAUGGCUCAGUGCUCCUGCCAUUGUGGUUCCAGAACCAGUAGGAACAUUGACUGCGGAGACUCACAGUCAGCCCAGCACCACACAGCCAGGACCCCAGUUCCAGCUCAGGCUCCCAGUGCAAUGGGCUGCCCAAAGGGAGGCUCCCUCUAUGGGGGGGGAGAGGACAGAAGAGCUGGCCUCUGAGCCUCACUAGGAAGGAUGACCAGGAGAUGGGGAAAGAAUUCAGGGCUUCAGAGACCACCUGGGCAGCUAUUUCUGGGACCAAGAAGAAGUAUGACCAGUGGCCAGAGAGGUAAGGUGGGUGCACAGAAAAGGCGUUUAAGACAGACUCAAAGUCAAAAAGGGCCUUUCACAGUGGCCACGCCUGUAAUCCCAGAGGCUUGGGAGGCUGAGGCAGGAGGAUCACAAGUUCAAAGUCAGCCUCAGCAACUUUAGCAAGACCCUGUUCAGAAAUAGAAUAUAAAAAGGGCUGGGGAUGUGGUUCAGUGGUUAAGUGCCCCUGGUUUCAAUCUCUGGUACCAAAAAAAAAAAAAAAAAUCAAUAAGUAUGGUGAGUCUAUGUUUCAAAUAUAUAAUAAUGACAAAUAAAACUCAAAAGAAAACGACCAACAGGGUCUAGCCAUGAUAAGUAAGUGAAAUCUCUGUGGCGCAGAAGCCAGCAGCAGUGGGAGAGGAGUUGCUGGGGCCUGCACUGUGCCCAGAGGGCACCAGGGAGACAUGUCCUCUCUGUAGGGUGGUUGGAAGUGAAGGGCCCCCUGCACAAGGCCCCACAGAGAGCGCCGUGGCUUGCAUCUGGAGCCCCAGAAGCUGCCGUGAUAGUGGGGCAGCCAUGCUUGGAGAAGGGGAGGCUGGACAUCCUCAGUGGAUCAGCCCAUCUGACGCAUUCCUAAUCUGAAUGGGUGGACAGCUGGUGGCACUAGGUGGAUGGGUGUGUCACAGGGAUGUGGUCUUGGGAACCCUGUCCCACCCAGGUCCUUCCCAUCUCUCUCUCUGCUGCCUGGCCUUCCUGAGCAAGCAGCCUGCCCCACCAUGUCCUCUGCCAUGUUCUGCAGGGGAGUCCACCAACCAUGGACUGAACCUCUGAAACCGUGAGCCAAAAUAAAUCUUUCCUCCUCUAAGUUGCUCUUGCCAAAUAUUUUGGUCACAGCAAUGAAAGGCUAACUGAGAGUGCUCUUAGCAACGGCAGUGAAGGGGCAUGCACCCCUGGGACCCUAGCUCCAUUCCAAGGACAUCGCUGGAGAAAUCUCACUCAUGAGCUGGACAGGAAUGUACAUCUCAGCUUUGAUCACACAAGUGCCAACUGCAGACAACCUAAAAGGUCAGCAGGGAAAGGGUGAAAUAAAUUGUGCUACACUCACACAAUGGAACAUUCUCUGUGGUGAACAGGGUGAUCUACAGCCCCGCGAAGCCACAUGCAGAGAUCUGGAUAAAGCCUGACAUGGUCAUGCCUGGCUUCUGUGGCAGGAAGCGGGUGUGGGGGACUGGAUAUUAGCAGGACCUCAGAAACAUGCCCAGACAGGUCAACCUGAAGGCGCUGUGCAUCAGGAAGGUGACUUAGCAGUUGCUAAGUCACAUACCCCAAGUCAGGUAAGAGCCUUAUCCUCGUACCCUCCUCCUUAAAAUUCCCUUUGCCUUUCUCCUACCCGGGGGUAGGUCUGGAGCUCCUCAGCCCUGUGUUCAGUUGUCUAGCUGCUAGCAAAAAUCAGACAGUGAGUAUUACCGGAGUCCUAGGCCAGAGGCCUGGCCUGGGGGACCCAACAAAUCAGGUCUGACCAUCACCCCCAAAACGAAACAGAGGGUCCUGGUGAAGCCUAAAGGAACUUCAGUCAGUGCCGUU